rnacentral:rRNA from 1 species
AAGAAAGUAAGCAAGGGCGCAUGGCGGAUGCCUUGGCUCUCGGAGGCGAUGAAGGACGUGAUAAGCUGCGAUAAGUCCUGGGUAGGUGCAAAUAACCUUUGAUCCAGGAAUUUCCGAAUGGGACAACCCGGCAUUCUGAAGGAAUGUCAUCCAUCUUUGAUGGAGGCUAACGCAGGGAACUGAAACAUCUUAGUACCUGCAGGAAAAGAAAAUAAUAAUGAUUCCCCUAGUAGUGGCGAGCGAACGGGGAACAGCCCAAACCACCCAUGUUACGGCAUGUGUGGGGUUGUAGGACCACGAUCUCGCAAGACAUCUGAUGAAUAGAAUCCUCUGGAAAGUGGAACCAUAGACGGUGAUAGUCCGGUAUAUGAAGUCAGAUUAAGCGUAGUGGUAUCCUGAGUAGCGCGGGACACGAGAAAUCUUGCGUGAAUCUGCCGGGACCAUCCGGUAAGGCUAAAUACUCCCGAGAGACCGAUAGCGAACCAGUACUGUGAAGGAAAGGUGAAAAGCACUUCGAA